UACGAAGGGGGCUAGCGUUGUUCGGAAUCACUGGGCGUAAAGGGCGCGUAGGCGGCUUUAUAAGUCGGGUGUGAAAUCCCUGGGCUCAACCUAGGAACUGCAUCCGAAACUGAUCACCUUGAGUAGUGGAGAGGAAAGCGGAAUUCCGGGUGUAGAGGUGAAAUUCGUAGAUAUCCGGAGGAACACCAGUGGCGAAGGCGGCUUUCUGGACACUAACUGACGCUGAGAUGCGAAAGCGUGGGGAGCAAACAGG
rnacentral:rRNA from 1 species